GGAGAACGCAGGCUUGCGCGGAGCGCCCCCCCCGCGCCCCCCGCGCCGCCGCCGCCGCGAGUCCAGCUCGCAGGAGGAGGAGGUCAUCGACGGCUUCGCCAUCGCCAGCUUCAGCACGCUGGAGGCGCUGGAGAAGGACAUGGCCCUGAAGCCUCAUGAGCGAAAGGAGAAAUGGGAGCGUCGCCUCAUCAAGAAGCCCCGGGAGACAGAAAACUGCCCGUCUGCAGAGCCCAGUGUGAGCAGGCAGCCACUAGAAGCCAGCAGCCCUGGGCAGGACUUGGAGCCCGCCUGUGAUGGAGGGACCAGGAAGGUCCCGCUACAGCCCUCCAAGCAGGUGAAGGUCACCAUAUCCAGAGGCGGUGACCAGAACAGUGGUGACGACAGUGUCCUUGAAGCCACCAGCUCCCACAGGAGCCACUCCCAGGACCAGCUCAGCGAUAGCUCGGCGCAAGCAGUGUCCGGGAAAGGCUACUCUUGUGACAGCGAGAGUGGCAUGGAUGACAAGGACACUCCCUGCAGCCAACCUUGGCAAGCAGAGUCUCGCCCAGGUCGGCCUGGCCCACUGCAGAGGCCCUGCACCCCGCCUGGAGAAGGAGCACAUCCGUGCUGAGCCCUGGGCCUGCAGCCAGACGAGGUCCCAGGUGCGGCUCCUAGCACGGCGCUGAGCAGGAAACAGCAGGACUUCGGGGAGUGGUUUUGUGUUUUGCGUUGGUAAUGAGAGUUUAUGUAUUUGGUAAGUAACUCAGAAGAAAGGGUUUAGUUUCCCACCCAGCAGGCGUAGCAGUCGUCCUGUCUUGUUGCCCUGGGGAUCGCGGAGUGCCGCCCUGGGUUGCACCUGGAGGGCGGUGUCGCGGCCUGCGCAUCC
rnacentral:lncRNA from 1 species